rnacentral:lncRNA from 1 species
AUUAAAAUGAUGAUAAGGUUACUCACUAUUUCGGGAGUCAAAUUUUUAGAAUACUCCGACUAUCGAUCCUCGGGUACAAUUUCUUUGCUCUUAUGGGAGGAUUCACCACCUAGACAUAAUGCACAAUCAAGCAAUUUACCACAUUGGUGAUAAACUGUUAUAAAACUAUAUGGAUGCAUGAAAUGGAAUGCAAAUUGUUCGGAUUAUUGUCUAAACACGGUGUUCUACACAAAUUCAAUUGUGUACCUAAAUAAAACAAUAUUGGCCUAAUUCGAUCUAUCACUCAAUUAAUUGGCCAAUAUGUCCAAUUCAACUCUAAUUAACUCGAUUUUUCUUCCAAUUCUCCAAACCAUCAAACACAAGUCAAAUAGCAUAAAAUUUAGGAAAAUUAUCUUCACAUUUUCUCUUGGGAAUUUCGGCCAUGGUGGGUGCAUCAACACUAUGAUUUUUCCUACUUGAUUUUCUCAUCGUAAUUCAUCAUUUCCUAACCAAUUCACUUGAAAUAAAAUCAAAUCCACCAUCCACACUCUACAUGGAAAAUUCAGCCAAUGACGGGUAAUGGGAGGAAGUGAAUUUUUCUUAUUAGCUUUUCAUGCUACACAUCACUAACUAACUAAAAACACUAAAAUACAUUGAAAUCUAACCAAAUCAAGCAUCAAAACCUCCCUCUAGGUGUUCGGCCAGCAAGGGAUUCAUUAUGAUUUCAUGUGAUUCAACCAUGGAAAAUAAGAAAAAAUGCUUAAGAAAGAGAGAUCUCAAGCUUAAAUUGAAAUAUCUUACUUUUUUUCACUUGUUUCCUUGAAUUUUCACACUUUUCCCUUGAAUUUUUCCACCUAGGGUUUUGUUCUUCCUUUUUCUUGCUUCUCCUUGGUGAGG